AUACGGAGGGUGCAAGCGUUACUCGGAAUCACUGGGCGUAAAGCGCGCGCAGGCGGCUAUUUAAGUUGGAUGUGAAAGCCUACGGCUCAACCGUAGAACUGCAUCCAAAACUAUUUAGCUAGAGUGUGGGAGAGGAAGAUGGAAUUAGUUGUGUAGGGGUAAAAUCCGUAGAGAUAACUAGGAAUACCAAAAGCGAAUGCAAUCUUCUGGAACACUACUGACGCUGAGGCGCGAAAGCGUGGGGAGCAAACAGGAUUAGAAACCCUAGUAGUCC
rnacentral:rRNA from 1 species